rnacentral:lncRNA from 1 species
GACGCAGAAGACGGGUGAUUUCUGCAUUUCCAUCUGAGAAAUAAAGCAGUGAAGUGACUAAAACAGCAGAAAACAAAAUCUUCUUGAGUAAAGUACUCUUGGCAGUAGACUUUAUGAUGUGGUACAACAUCAGGAAAAAAUAAACCCAGCAGACAGAUGGUCUCCAGAGAGAAAUAACCAUAAACUCUGAAACUACUACACAUGAAAGUACCUGCCCAAGGAAUAGAGAAGACAGAUGUUUCUCUAGGGAUUGACCUACAAUGGCACUUGUUGCUCUUGGUGACCAGAGCUAAAAGAAAGCUGAAAGCCAGCAUCAGUGUGUGAAGUCACUGAAGUAUUUUAUAGAUCAGAAAAGUUGGCAAGCGAUGGACACUAGACAACACAAACUUCCUCUCUCCAAAAAUAUAUUCACAGUCAGCUUUAAAGCUGUAGUCACUCCUCUGGGGUCUGAAUAAACAUGGCCAUUCUUGAUAGACAUGUUGACUGAUGGACUGAGAGAUAUAGAUACAUGCCAUGAGAUCUCUUUAUGAGCAGUGGUCUUAUGGAUAUCUGCAUGACCUCUGCUGAAGUAAAAUACUGUGGUUCGUGAGAAGACGUGACCUUUGGAUACAGCUGGUCUAGUCCUGGCUCUGCUGUGUCAGUGAAAGUGGAACAGUUACAUGGCUCUCCCGAAUCUCUGUUUUCACUUGGUUAAAUGAGGGUUACAUGUACUUACUUCCAGUGUUGUUAUGAGAAUUAAAUGAGAUUAAAUGUUAAAAUUUGUGAGCGGUCAAUAUAUGUACUUCUUUUCUCCCCCUCAGUCUCUUAAGAAUAUUCUACACCAGU